UACAUGAGUGGCGAGCGUUAUUCCCUAUGGUUGGGUGUAAAAUAUCCUUAGGAGGGGGCAUUUUGAUUUUUAACCCCCCAUCAAAAAAAUACUACUAAAAUUUUUAUUUUUGGUGUUUAUAGAGGUAAAAUUCUAGGAGAAAUACUAAAAAUCUAAAAGUGAAGACAUUUCAAUAGAGUAGUAUGUAUACUUAGGGAUGAAAGUAUGGUUCGUGGCGAGGAUUAGAGACCCUCUUAAUCCAUACUGUAAAUUAUGAUUGCUGUUUGACAAGACAAGCUAACGUAAGAGCAAUCUACCUGGGGCCUAAAACCGCAAGGUUAAAACUUAAAGAAAUUGGCGGGACUCUUUCAAUGGUGGAGCAUGUGAUUUAAUGCGGUAAUCCUCGCAAAACAUUACUAGAGUGCAGGUAACUCUUAGUUUUUAUGGAUAACAUAAGUAAUUGCCUGUAGGUAUUGCAUGGCUGUCGUCAGUUCGUGCUGUGAAGUGUUGUGUUUAGUCAUCAAAACGAACGCAAUCCUAUGAUCAUCGAUUAGGUGAUUAUUUAUUUAUGGCUGAAGUCAAGUCUUUAUGGUCUGUUUACUCUAGGCUACACACGUGCUACAUUGGUAAAAACAAAGGGCAACUAGAGUUAAUACUCGCGUUAUUCUCUAAAAAUUACCAAUCCCAAUUAUUAUUUAUAGUCAAUAAUAUGAGGGUGAAAUCAUUAGUAAUCAUAGUUUAGGAUGAUAUGGUGAAUAUAAAAAAAGAGUUUGCACACACCGCCCAUCACGCUCAGAGAGUCAUGUUUAUUUAAAGAUUCGCAGCCAAAGAACUCUUCAAGUACUAAAUAAGAGACUUUCGCAAGGCGUGUUAUAGAAUUAAAUGUGGUAAUUGGAGUGAAG
rnacentral:rRNA from 1 species